GAUGAAGAACGUAGCGAAAUGCGAUAAGUAAUGUGAAUUGCAGAAUUCAGUGAAUCAUCGAAUCUUUGAACGCACAUUGCGCCCCCUGGUAUUCCGGGGGGCAUGCCUGUUCGAGCGUCAUUUCACCACUCAAGCCUCGCUUGGUAUUGGGCAACGCGGUCCGCCGCGUGCCUCAAAUCGACCGGCUGGGUCUUCUGUCCCCUAAGCGUUGUGGAAACUAUUCGCUAAAGGGUGUUCGGGAGGCUACGCCGUAAAACAACCCCAUUUCUAAGGUUGACCUCGGAUCAGCUAGGGAUACCCGCUGAACUUAAGCAUAUCAAUAAGCGGAGGA
rnacentral:misc_RNA from 1 species